CUCCCGACUUCUGGUGAUCCGCCCGCCUCGGCCUCCCAAAGUGCUGGGAUUACAGGCGUGAGCCACCGCCGCCGACCCGGGCCCUGUUUGAUUAUGUCUGCUGCUGCCUUGGCCGUUUUUUCCCCCACCGCUGGACUUUGGCUGGCCGAGCUUGCAGUGCUUAUCGCCCUAGAAACCUGUGAAAGGGCGACAUUGCUGCCAUUUCAGACCCUUCCACUGUUCGUAGUUCUAAGCACGUGUCAGUGUUAAAAAUCCUUUAUCAAGAUGAGCACUGUUCACUUGCCGCCUCUGCAAAGCGUGAGCCACUGCGCUGGGCCAGAAUUUUUCAUCAGAUGAUUUAGCCCAUAAUUUUCCCGCCUUUCCUAAAUCACCAUCCCAUUCCUCACAUAUAUUCUGAAUCACUCCAAUGUUGGAAAGUAUAUAUAAAGGGAAGCUAAAAGAUAAGGAGAAACAAGCAAUCAUGUGCCCAGAUAAAAGCAAAAUUGUCUUGUGAAUCAGUGAUAACACUGCAAAAAGUAAAUAGGUUAUGCAGCUGAGAUGUGACUGUAAAAUAACGUAACGAAUUAUAGCUGCCAUUACUUCCAGUCACGAAUACAUUCAUUCUCCAAGAUAAAAUGCAUCUGUCUAGGCCACCAAUUUACAAUUUUUUAAAACCAGCAAUUUAAACCUCAGAAAUUAACUACUUAUCCCUAAGUUGCUUAUCAAAUUACUGAACUUAUCAGUCCUGUAAUACUAAAUAUUAAAACAAGGCAUUUUUAAGAGGAAGAUCAACGAAAUUAGAGACUACCAUAAAGCAAAUCAAAGCAGUAUAUAACUCUGCAACAUGGUGUGAAAUGUCAUGUAAAUUGCUAGACGUUUAGAAUCAAGGAAUGGAUGGAUCAAGAUAUUCCAGGCCAGACUUAGUGGUUCACACCUGUAACCCCAGUACUUUCAGAAGUCGAGGUGGGAAGCUCCGAGACCAGCCUGGGCAACAUAGCAAGACCCUAUCUCUACAAGAAAUUUAAAAAAUAACUGAGUGUGGUGGCACAGAAGUACCUAUGGUCCCACCUGCCCCUGAGGCUGAGGUGAGGGGUCUGCUUGAGCUCAGGAUCCCAAGGUUACCGUGAGCUAUGAUCACAUCACUGUGCUCCAGCCUGAGCAACAGAGUGAGACCCUAUCUCUUUAAAAAAAAAAAAAAGUGAUUGGACAAAAUAUAAUUAUUGGCACCAAGUGAAUGUUAGGAAAAAAAAAAAACACGUACAAAGAACUUUAUAGAGCAGCCAUUCCCACUGGGAAGAGUGUGUAGGUUGGACUCUAACCAUUAAAGAGCUAGGUGGGAUGAUACUAAAUAUAUAUAACAGACAUUUAAUAUAAAUAUGAUAUGAAGGCUAAGGUGAAAAGGGAUGCCAGUGGAUCACAGUAUUUUCUUGAUUCAAUGAUGACAUUGUCCAUUUAAGCAAGGUAGUUUAGGCCACAGUAAUGGCAGAAAAAGGGGAUAAUUUGAAAAUAUUCCAGAAGGACUUCAUUGUAUGUGGGGUUCAUGAUGUCUCGCGACUCCUUUCCGUAUAUGACAAAUACAGCAAAGUUAGGAGGGGGAAGAAGUAUUUUGCUUUUGCUACCAAAAGAAAAACUGUCUGAAGAUGUCUAACCCAGGAAAGCAAGAAAAUAUACAGGCCUAUUUAACAGACCUCUAUGACUAUUUCAAUGGGAAAAAAAAUUUUUAAUGUGUGUAAUGAAUAGUAAACAUAUAAGCAAG